ACUGACUCGAGCUCGGCUCGACUCUCCACCCUUUGUGAACGUACCUCUGUUGCUUUGGCGGCUCCGGCCGCCAAAGGACCUUCAAACUCCAGUCAGUAAACGCAGACGUCUGAUAAACAAGUUAAUAAACUAAAACUUUCAACAACGGAUCUCUUGGUUCUGGCAUCGAUGAAGAACGCAGCGAAAUGCGAUAAGUAAUGUGAAUUGCAGAAUUCAGUGAAUCAUCGAAUCUUUGAACGCACAUUGCGCCCCUUGGUAUUCCGGGGGGCAUGCCUGUUCGAGCGUCAUUACAACCCUCAAGCUCUGCUUGGAAUUGGGCACCGUCCUCACUGCGGACGCGCCUCAAAGACCUCGGCGGUGGCUGUUCAGCCCUCAAGCGUAGUAGAAUACACCUCGCUUUGGAGCGGUUGGCGUCGCCCGCCGGACGAACCUUCUGAACUUUUCUCAAGGUUGACCUCGGAUCAGGUAGGGAUACCCGCUGAACUUAAGCAUAUCUAAAGGGGGGAGAGAA
rnacentral:rRNA from 1 species